rnacentral:rRNA from 1 species
ACGGGUCUUAGCUCCAGAUUGAACGCUGGCGGGGUGCUUUACACAUGCAAGUCGAACGGCAGCGGACUUCGGUCUGGUGGCGAGUGGCGAACGGGUGAGUAAUGUAUCGGAACGUGCCUAGUAGCGGGGGAUAACUACGCGAAAGCUAAUACCGCAUACGCCCUUCGGGGAAAGCGGGAGACCUUCGGGCCUCGCACUGUUAGAGCAGCCGAUAUGGAUUAGCUGGAUUGGUGGGGUAACGGCUCACCAAGGCGACGAUCCGUAGCUGGUUUGAGAGGACGACCAGCCACACUGGGACUGAGACACGGCCCAGACUCCUACGGGAGGCAGCAGUGGGAAUUUUGGACAAUGAAACCCUGAUCAAUAUCCGCGUACGAUGAAGGCCUUCGGGUUGUAAAAGCACUUUUGGCAGGAAAGAAACGGCACGGGAUAAUACGUGCAGCUGACGGUACCUGCAGAAUAAAGCACCGGCUAACUACGUGCCAGCAGCCGCGGUAAUACGUAGGGUGCAAGCGUUAAUCGGAAUUACUGGGCGUAAAAAGCGUGCGCAGUGGUUCGGAAAGAAAGAUGCUUGAAAUCCCAGAGCUUAACUUUGGAACUGCAUUUUUUUUAACUACCGAGCUAGAGUGUGUCCAGAGGAGGUGGAAUUCCGCGUGCUUAGCAGUGAAAUGCGUAGAUAUGCGGAGAACACCGAUGGCGAAGGCAGCCUCCUGGGAUAACACUGACGCUCGCUGCACGAAAGCGUGGGAGCAAACAGGAUUGGAUACCCUGGUAGUCCACGCCUAAACGAUGUCAACUGGCUAUUUGGGGCCUUCGGGCCUUGGUAGCGCAGCCUAACGCGUGAAGUUGACCGCCUGGGGAGUACGGUCGCAAGAUUAAAACUCAAAGGAAUUGACGGGGACCCGCACAAGCGGUGGAUGAUGUGGAUUAAUUCGAUGCAACGCGAAAAACCUUACCUACCCUUGACAUGUCUGGAAUCCCGAAGAGAUUUGGGAGUGCUCGCAAGAGAACCGGAACACAGGUGCUGCAUGGCUGUCGUCAGCUCGUGUCUGGAAGGAUGUUGGGUUAAGUCCUGGCAGAAGCACAACCCUUGUCAUUAGUUGCUACGAAGGGCACUCUAAUGAGACUGCCGGUGACAAACCGGAAGGUGGGGAUGACGUCAGAGUCCUCAUGGCCCAUAUGGGUAGGGCUUCACACGUCAUACAAUGGUCGGGACAGAGAGAUUCGCCAACCCGCGAGGGGGAGCCAAUCCCAGAAACCCGAUCGUGAUCCGGAUCGCAGUCUACAACUCGACUGCGUGAAGUCGGAAUCGCUAGUAAUCGCGGAUCAGCAUGUCAUAAUUGAAUACGUUCCCGGGUCUUGCCACACACCGCCCGUCUCUGUAGAAUUGGGUUUUUGCCAGAAGUAGUUAGCCUAACCGUAAGGAGGGCGAUUACCACGGUAGGAUUCAUGACUGGGGUGAAGUCGUAACAAGGUAG